GAUGAACGCUAGCGAUAGGCUUAACACAUGCAAGUCGAGGGGAAACGGCAUGAGAUGCUUGCAUCUUAUGGACGUCGACCGGCGUACGGGUGAGUAACGCGUAUCCAACCUGCCCGCGAGUAGGGGAUAACCCGCAGAAAUGCGGACUAAUACCCUAUAUAGUCCAAAGACGCCAUCAGAUUUGGACGGAAGAUUUAUCGCUCGCGGAUGGGGAUGCGUCUGAUUAGCUUGUUGGCGGGGUAACGGCCCACCAAGGCAUCGAUCAGUAGGGGCUCCGAGAGGAAGGUCCCCCACAUAGGAACUGAGACACGGUCCUA
rnacentral:rRNA from 1 species